rnacentral:rRNA from 1 species
GUGCCAGCCGCCGCGGUAAAACGUAGGAGGCAAGCGUUAUCCGGAUUUACUGGGCGUAAAGGGCGUGCAGGUGGUUUUCUAAGUGGUGCGUGAAAGCGCUCGGCUCAACCGGGCGAGGCCGUGCCAAACUGGGGGACUAGAAACAGGCAGAGGAAAGUGGAAUUCGGGGUGUAGUGGUGAAAUGCGUAGAGAUCCCGAGGAACUCCUGUGGCGAAGGCGACUUUCUGGGCCUGCUUUGACACUCAGACGCGAAAGCAUGGGGAGCGAACGGGAUUAGAUACCCCUGUAGUCC